rnacentral:lncRNA from 1 species
GGUUAGACCCCCGCUGGGGGAUUAGCGGGCGGCGAGGGCCGCCGGCACGCGAUCCGCCCUCAGAGCCCCGCGGGCUGCGAUCAAACUGGGUCCCAGAGUCCGUGGGAGCGGGGGUCGGGGGCGGCAGCUCGCAGGACGUUCCCGGCGCGGCGCUGGGGGACGCGAGCCAGGGUCUUGCUGGGCUGCCCAGGAUGGUGUCAGAUCCCUGGGCUCAAGAGAUCCUCCUGCCUCAACCUCCUGAGUACUGAGACUACUGGUUCCCCACCCAGGCCUGAGUCCAGAGCCACCAGCAACAAAUGGCCACAGGCUGCAUCUGUUGCCCCAGAAGUUGCCAUGAAGCCGCCGAUGGUUGGGAUGGAGAUGAGGAUUUCUCAGCUGGUCCCUUGCAUGGACAUAUAUGGAGUUUAACAAUCUGCUUUCUCAUUUGUGAUUCCUUCAUAAAGAGACCCCCAUUUUAAGAGAAUUACAGCAUCCUGCAACGAUCCAUUCUUUGGGCCUGACUUCUGUGCCCCAUGUUUCCUCAGCCUUC